rnacentral:misc_RNA from 1 species
UUUCCGUAGGUGAACCUGCGGAAGGAUCAUUACUGAGUGAGAGCCCCUCGGGAUCCAACCUCCCACCCGUGUUUAACGAGCCUUGUUGCUUCGGCGGGCCCGCCUUUAGGCCGCGCGGGGGCAUCUGCCACCGGGCACUCGCCUGCUGAAGCCACACGUGGACGCUGCCUGAAGUACGCAGCCUGAUACAAAUAUUAAAUUAAUAAAAAACAUCAAAAACGGAUCUCCUGGUUCAGGCAACGAUGAAGAACGCAGCAGAUCGGAAGAGCACCCGUCUAA